rnacentral:rRNA from 1 species
CCGCGGUAAGACAGAGGGUGCAAACGUUGCUCGGAUUUACUGGGCGUAAAGCGCAUGUAGGCGGGCGAAUAAGUCGGGUGUGAAAUCCCUGGGCUCAACCUAGGAACUGCAUUCGAAACUGUUCACCUAGAGUAGUGGAGAGGAAAGCGGAAUUCCGGGUGUAGAGGUGAAAUUCGUAGAUAUCCGGAGGAACACCAGUGGCGAAGGCGGCUUUCUGGACACUAACUGACGCUGAGAUGCGAAAGCGUGG